GGAUCCCGGCGGUAGUAACAGCGAAGAGGGGUGAGAAUCCCCUCCGCCGGAAAGGGCCAGGGUUCCUCGGCAACGGUCGUCGGCCGAGGGUGAGCCGGCCCUAACCCGGGCCGUAACACGGACCCGGGGAAAGGGAAACGGGUCAAUAUUCCCGUGCCGCGGGGGUAGGUGCGGCAACGCAAGCCCCGCCUCCGACGCCUCCGGGUAGGCGGACCGGGGGCGGCCGAAGGGCCGCGACCCGGCUAACCGCUGAAGGCCGGGGAGAGCCGUCAUGGCGAGAACCGGCCGAAGGCGGGAAUGGGGGCCCGUUAGGGCCCUUCCGCCGAUCCCGGGGGCCCUUGAAAAGGGGGCGGGGAGCGAUCCCCCGCGCCCGUACCGAGAACCGACACAGGUGCCCCUGGGUGAGAAGCCCCAGGCGUCUGGGGGUCAACCCGGGCCAGGGAACUCGGCAAAUUGGCCCCGUAACUUCGGGAGAAGGGGUGCCCGCGGUCUGGAGGUAAACCCUCUGGACCGCGGGUCGCAGUGCCUAGGGGGGCCUGACUGUUUAAUAAAAACAUAGGUCCCCGCAAGCCCGAAAGGGUGUGUACGGGGGCCGAAUCCUGGCCACUGGCGGUCCGUGAAACCGGGGUUCAACCCGGCGAAGCGCCGCUGAAGGCCGGGAGUAACUCUGACUCUCUUAAGGUAGCCAAAUGCCUUGCCGGGUAAGUUCCGGCGCGCAUGAAUGGAUCAACGAGGUCCCCACUGUCCUGGCCCGGGGCCCCGUGAACCCACGGAGCCGGUGCACAGGCCGGCAUCCCCCCGCAGGGCGAGAAGACCCCGUGGAGCUUUACCGCAGCCUGGGGUUGCCCUUCGGGCCUGGGUGCGUAGCGUAGGUGGGAGCCGAUGAGCCACCCUCUCCGGGGGGUGGGGAGGCGCCAAUGAAACACCACCCACCCAGGCCCGGGGGGCUUACCCCCGGCGGGAGCCGGGGGGACAGCCCCAGGUGGGCGGUUUGGCUGGGGCGGCACGCCCGCGAAAAGGUAACACGGGCGCCCAAAGGUCGGCUCAGGCGGGUCAGAGCUCCGCCGUAGAGUGCAAGGGCAAAAGCCGGCCUGACCGGACCCCGAACAGCAAGGGGUCCGGCCGGGAAACCGCGGCCUAGCGAACGCUCGUGCCCCCCUCGGUGGGGGCCGGGCAUGACAGAAAAGUUACCCCGGGGAUAACAGAGUCGUCGCGGGCGAGAGCUCACAUCGACCCCGCGGUUUGCUACAUCGAUGUCGGCUCUUCCCAUCCUGGGGGUGCAGCAGCCCCCAAGGGUGGGGCUGCCCGCCCAUUAAAGGGGAACGUGAGCUGGGUUUAGACCGUCGUGAGACAGGUCGGACUCUACCCGCGGGGGGUGUGGGCCGCCUGAGGGGAAGGUGCCCCUAGUACGAGAGGAACGGGGCGCCGCGGCCUCUAGUGUACCGGUUGUCCGGCAGGGCAGCGCCGGGCAGCCACGCCGUAGGGGGUAACCGCUGAAAGCAUCUAAGCGGGAACCCCUCCCCGAAAAGAGGCGGCCGCCCGGCCUCCUCUGGGGGCCGGGCCCGGGCUCCCGUAGAAGACGGGGUUGAUGGGGCGGGGGUGUAAGCCCCGAGGGCCUUAGGGCCCGAGGGGUUGAGCCCGCCGCUCCCAAUCGCCCGGAACGCCGUGGGCUU
rnacentral:rRNA from 1 species